CACCACGCUCACUUUGGGAUUAAUCAAAACAAGUCGGUGUGGAAUGUUUUUUGCUUUUAAUCGAAUAAAAACACAUUUUUAAGAAUACUUUAAACAUAAACAUUACAUGAGUACAGUUAUCACAUGGUACAUGUUAAUGUAUAUGGUUUGUUGUAUUCUUAUAUGAUUUUGUACACAAUGCAUACAAUGUAUAUUUUGGCAAUAUGCAUACUCUUGGUAAACCGGACGAUCAGGCCGGUCUCCAGACCGUCCGGUUUACAGAGAGUCUACUGUAUAUUUUUUUUAGCUCACCUGAGCACAACGUGCUCAUGGUGAGCUAUUGUGAUCGCCUUUUGUCCGUCGUGCGUCGUCAAAAUUUACCUUGUUAACACUCUAAAGGUCACAUUUAUUGUCCAAUCUUCAUGAAACUUGGUUAGAACAUGUGUCUCAAUAAUAUCUUGGACGAGUUCGAAAAUGGUUCCGGUUGGUUGAAAAACAUGGCUGCCAGGGGGCGUGGCAGUUUUCCUUAUAUGGCUAUAGUAAAACCUUGUUAACACUCUAGAAGUCACAUUUUUAGUCCAAUCUGCAUGAAACUUGGUGGGAACAUGUGUCCCAAUAAAAUCUUGGACAAGUUCAAAAAUUGUUCCGGUUGGUUGAAAAACAUGGCCGCCAGGGGGCGUGGCAGUUUUCCUUAAGUAAAACCUUGUUAACACUCUAGAAGUCACAUUUAUUGUCCAAUCUUCAUGAAACUUAGUCAGAAGAUUUGUUAUAAUGAUAUCUUGGACGAGUUCGAAAAUGGUUCCGGUUGUUUGAAAAACAUGGCCGCCAGGGGGCGUGGCAGUUUUCCUAAUAUGGCUAUAGUAAAACUUGUUAACACUCUAGAAGUCACAUUUUUAGUCCAAUCUUCAUGAAACUUGGUCAAAACAUGUGUCUCAAUAAUAUCUUGGACGAGUUCGAAAAUGGUUCCAGUUGAAUGAAAAACAUGGCCGCCAUGGGGCGGGGCAGUUUUCCUUAUAUGGCUUUACUGUAUGGUAAAACCUUGUUAACACUCAUUUGUUGUCCAAUGCUCAUUAAACUUGGUCAGAAUAUUUGAACUAAUAAUAUCUGGGCUAAGUUCAAAAAUGGUUGAGAUCAGUUAAAAAACAUGGCCGCAAGGGGGCGUGGCAUUUUUCCUUAAAUGGCUAUUUACUACAAAAUCUUGUAAACACUCUAGAAGUCACAUUUAUUAUCCAAUCUUCAUGAAACUUGAUCAGAACAUUUGUUCUAACAAUAGCUUGAGUGAGUUUGAAAAUGGUUAUGGUUUGUUGAAAAACAUGGCCGCCAGGCGGGGGGCAGUUGUCUUUAUAUGGCUUUAGUGAAAACUUGUUGACACUAUAUUAGCCACAUUUAUUGGCCAAUCUUCAUGAAACUUGGUCAGAACAUUUGUUCCAAUGAAAUUUUGCCAGAGAUAGAAGCUGGGUCAUAUGAGCUCAAAAACUAGGUCACAAGGUCAAAUAUAAAAAAAACAUGUUAAAAGUCACUUUUUUGGUCCAAAAUAAUCUUCAUGAAUCAGCUUGCAUUUUUUUCAGAAUAGUCUAGUUCCUUUUGCUUUUAGGUGAGCGCCUUAGGGCCUGAUGGCCCUCUUGUUUUCAUUUGCACAAUUUAUAAUUUAUUAAAUAUAAAGAAGAAUAAUUGAUGUGUUUAUAUGUUAUGGAUAUGGUUAGUUUAAACCUAUUUAUUAUGCCCCCCCUCGAAGAAGAGGUUGUAUAUUGUUUUGCACAUGUCGGUCGGUCCGUCUGUCCACCAGGUGGUUUCCGGAUGAUAACUCAAGAAGGCUUAGGCCUAGGAUCAUAAAACUUCAUAGGUACAUUGAUCAUGACUGGCAGAUGACCCCUAUUGAUUUUCAGGUCACUAGGUCAAAGGUCAAGGUCACAGCGACUCGAAACAGUAAAAUGGUUUCCGGAUGAUAACUCAAGAAUGCUUACGCCUAGGAUCAUGAAACUUCAUAGGAACAUUGAUCAUGACUGGCAGAUGACCACUAUUUCUUUUCAGGUCACUAGAUCAAAGGUCAAGGUAACAGUGACUCAAAACAGUAAAAUGGUUUCCGGAUGAUUACUCAAGAAUGCUUACGCCUAGGAUCAUGAAACGUCAUAGGUACAUUGAUCAUGACUGGCAGAUGACCCCUAUUAAUGUUCAGGUCACUAGGUCAAAGGUCAAGGUCACAGUGACUCAAAACAGUAAAAUGUUUUCCAGAUGAUAACUCAAGAAUAAUUAGGCCUAGGAUCAUGACACUUCUUAGGUUCAUUGAUCAUGACUGGCAGAUGACCCCUAUUGAUUUUCAGGUCACUAGGUCAAAGGUCAAGGUCACAGUGACUAAAAACGUAUUCACACAAUGGCUGCCACUACAACUGAGAGCCCAUAUGGGGGGGCAUGCAUGUUUUACAAACAGCCCUUGUUUGAGUUUGAUUGCAUUGAAAGCCAAAGGCCAAACACUCUCCUUUCUAGUCCAUUUACAGGGUAGAACCAGUACUUUAUGUCUGUGGGGUAGAGACCUAAUGAACGCAUGGGGAUCAAACACGCGACCUCCCCAGAAUAGAAUAUAUAUAUGUAUUGUUUAAAUUUUGUGGAAACAUCUCUUCUUCAUCUUCUUUAAGCAUUUGAUUUGUUUAUUCCAUUUUGCAAUAAUUCUUUUUUGUGUUGCUUGACAGAGAUGUAAGCCACCAAUUGUAUUGUUCUAUCAUGUGUAAAACUUCUAUUUGCUUAUGUAUAAGUUAGUGACUUAUUGAAACAAUCUAUUACUGUAUUUUCUUUGCAUAUUGAUUUCUACUAAUUUUUAUGUAUUUUAAAAUAUAAAGAAUAUGUUU